CCUACGGGUGGCUGCAGUAGGGAAUUUUGCGCAAUGGGCGAAAGCCUGACGCAGCAACGCCGCGUGAUCGAGACGCCCUUCGGGGUGUAAAGAUCUGUCAGUGGGGACGAAACUUGACGGUACCCACAGAGGAAGCACCGGCUAACUCCGUGCCAGCAGCCGCGGUAAUACGGGGGGUGCAAGCGUUGUCCGGAAUCAUUGGGCGUAAAGGGUGCGUAGGCGGUUAUACAAGUUAGAAGUGAAAUACCCAGGGCUUAACUCGGGUGCUGCUUCUAAAACUGUAAGACUUGAGUGCAGUAGAGGUUAGUGGAAUUCCUAGUGUAGCGGUGGAAUGCGUAGAUAUUAGGAGGAACACCAGAGGCGAAGGCGGCUAACUGGACUGCAACUGACGCUGAGGCACGAAAGUGUGGGGAGCAAACAGGAUUAGAUACCCCUGUAGUC
rnacentral:rRNA from 1 species